GUGCCAGCAGCCGCGGUAAUACGUAGGGAGCGAGCGUUAUCCGGAAUUAUUGGGCGUAAAGGGUGCGUAGAUGGCAAUAAAAGUUUCUUGUAAAAAUGCUAGGCUCAACCUAGUAGGGCAAGGGAUACUAUAUAGCUAGAGUAUGAUAGAGGCAAGUGGAACUCCAUGUGUAGCGGUAAAAUGCGUAAAUAUAUGGAAGAACACCAGUGGCGAAGGCGGCUUGCUAGGUCAAUACUGACAUUGAGGCACGAAAGCGUGGGGAGCAAACAGGAUUAGAUACCCUGGUAGUCCACGCCCUAAACGAUGAGUACUAAGUGUUGGAGAGAUUCAGUGCUGAAGUUAACGCAUUAAGUACUCCGCCUGAGUAGUACGUACGCAAGUAUGAAACUUAAAGGAAUUGACGGGAGCCCGCACAAGCGGUGGAGCAUGUUGUUUAAUUCGACGAUACGCGAAGAACCUUACCAGGUCUUGACAUCUAGGUGUUAGCUAUAGAGAUAUAGUGAGAUAGCCUAAGACAGGUGGUGCAUGGUUGUCGUCAGCUCGUGUCGUGAGAUGUUGGGUUAAGUCCCGCAACGAGCGCAACCCUUAUUACUAGUUACUAGCAUUAAGUUGAGGACUCUAGUAAGACUGCCAGUGAUAAAUUGGAGGAAGGUGGGGAUGACGUCAAAUCAUCAUGCCCUUUAUGACCUGGGCUACAAACGUGCUACAAUGGCUGAAACAAAGAGAAGCGAAGGAGCGAUCUGGAGCGAACCUCAAAAAAGCAGUCUCAGUUCGGAUUGAAGUCUGCAACUCGACUUCAUGAAGUUGGAAUCGCUAGUAAUCGCGAAUCAGAAUGUCGCGGUGAAUACGUUCCCGGGCUUUGUACACACCGCCCGU
rnacentral:rRNA from 1 species